GGCUCAGGACGAACGCUGGCGGCGUGCUUAACACAUGCAAGUCGAACGAUGAAGCCUGGCUUGCUGGGUGGAUUAGUGGCGAACGGGUGAGUAACACGUGAGUAACCUGCCCUUGACUCUGGGAUAAGCGCUGGAAACGGCGUCUAAUACCGGAUACGACCUGCCCCGGCAUCGGGUGUGGGUGGAAAGUUUUUCGGUCAAGGAUGGACUCGCGGCCUAUCAGCUUGUUGGUGAGGUAAUGGCUUACCAAGGCGACGACGGGUAGCCGGCCUGAGAGGGUGACCGGCCACACUGGGACUGAGACACGGCCCAGACUCCUACGGGAGGCAGCAGUGGGGAAUAUUGCACAAUGGGCGAAAGCCUGAUGCAGCAACGCCGCGUGGGGGAUGACGGCCUUCGGGUUGUAAACCUCUUUUAGUAGGGAAGAAGGGCUUCGGCUGAC
rnacentral:rRNA from 1 species